GACAGGUGGUGCAUGGUUGUCGUCAGCUCGUGUCGUGAGAUGUUGGGUUAAGUCCCGCAACGAGCGCAACCCUUAAGCUUAGUUGCCAUCAUUAAGUUGGGCACUCUAAGUUGACUGCCGGUGACAAACCGGAGGAAGGUGGGGAUGACGUCAAAUCAUCAUGCCCCUUAUGAUUUGGGCUACACACGUGCUACAAUGGACAAUACAAAGGGCAGCGAAACCGCGAGGUCAAGCAAAUCCCAUAAAGUUGUUCUCAGUUCGGAUUGUAGUCUGCAACUCGACUACAUGAAGCUGGAAUCGCUAGUAAUCGUAGAUCAGCAUGCUACGGUGAAUACGUUCCCGGGUCUUGUACACACCGCCCGUCACACCACGAGAGUUUG
rnacentral:rRNA from 1 species